GUUAGAGGGAGUGGGGUAUAGUGACACAGUAACAGAGGGAUUGAGGGCUCUGCUCAGUGAGUUUACAUGUUAGAGGGAGUGGGGUAUAGUGACAGUAACAGAGGGAUUGGGGGCCCUGCUCAGUGAGUUUACAUGCUAGAGGGAGUGGGGUAUAGUGACACAGUAACAGAGGGAUUGAGGGCCUGCUCAGUGAGCUUACAUGUUAGAGGGAGUGGGGUAUAGUGACAGUAACAGAGGGAUUGAGGGCCCUGCUCAGUGAGUUUACAUGCUAGGGGG